GACGAACGCUGGCGGCGUGCUUAACACAUGCAAGUCACGGGGGGCCCGCAAGGGUCAACCGGCGAACGGGUGCGUAACACGUGAGCGACCUGCCCAAUUGCGGGGGAUAGCCGGCCCAACGGCCGGGGUAAUACCGCAUACGCUUCCCUGGGGGCAUUCUUGGGGAAGGAAACCUACGGGGCGAUUGGAGGGGCUCGCGGCCUAUCAGCUAGUUGGCGAGGUAACGGCUCACCAAGGCGAUGACGGGUAGCUGGUCUGAGAGGAUGGCCAGCCACAUUGGGACUGAGAGACGGCCCAGACUCCUACGGGAGGCAGC
rnacentral:rRNA from 1 species